GCCGGGGUGGGGUAGUUGGUUAUCCUUCGGGACUGUGGAUCCCGCGACUCGGGUUCAAAUCCCGGCCCCGGCCCCA
rnacentral:tRNA from 2 species